rnacentral:lncRNA from 1 species
AGGGCUUCCGCGUCCUGCAAGCCCAGGGCCACACGGGCCCACCCCAAAGUCCGUGCUGCUAAGGAGCCUGCGGUUCCUUGGGUGGUUCUCAAACUUGAGCUGCUUGGAACCCAGGGGUACACCGGUCGGGCCUGGUUCCUGACCCAGCGAAGGUCUGAGGGCGGGGGCUGGGCUUCCUACCGCCUCCAGGGGGCGCUCUGAGGCAGGUCCUCUUCAGUACCACCGAGUGCUGUAACUCAGUCCGUGCUAACCUGAGCUAGCGCUGAUCUAAUGAAUCAGCAUCUCCCAACACACCUGUGCGUUAGGGUGCAGCGAGCACCGUCAGGACGCCAGGAGCACCUGGCAAUGUUUUCUAAAAAGGACACCUCAGGAGUGUGUGCAAUCACUCUGUGGACAGGUUCUGGAUUGCCUCUGCAGCCCCUGCUGUCUGAGCCUUUGCAGCCCAGCCAAAGAGCACGGAUUGCCCAACUUUGCGCCGAGGAAGGGUAAGCAGCGCAGGGCACAGAGGCGGAAUCGGGAACUGGGUGACGGAAGGCCUCGUGAGGUUUCAUCAUCCCGGGAUCAAGGCUCACAUUCGCCCAGGCCUCACUCAUGCCAAGAGCACACCUUACAGGCUGGAAACCAAGGCCCCCGAGGUCACGGGGUGCACGCACCUGGGGAGCCGGCUGACUCAGGUGGUCUUGCUCCAGGGCGGUGUGACUUCCCCUCCAGGGCUGACCGAAGCCUCCAAGUUGAACUUGCAAUGCGCAGAUACUUUCUAAUUUCCAGAGGAAAAGGCAGGGUGGUAAGAAUGCCCAGCACAAGCUUGGCCCGGAUAGGGGCAUGGCCGGGUCACGGGCACCCCCUGCCGCUCACGUGGGACCCCCACCAAGUGUGUCCCUUGCUUCUCCAGUGACAGUGGCGCCUGUGGAGCUCAGGAGUCAGAUAGGGUGCAGGUGGCGGCUGCCCCCCAGUCCCUGGCCUGAGCCUCUUUUAGUCCAGUUGACAAAACACGAAUUCUGCGUCAUCGUCAGCUUCCUGUGCGUGGUCCUCCCCGGGCCCUGCAGCCGCCUGUCAACGCUGCCUUCCAAAAUGAGCCCCGUUGGCCUGGCGCAGGCGGAAAGCUCCAGCCCUAGGCCCUACCUGGCCUGGUCUUGGGCCCUGGCUGACCACAGCUCAGCUUGGUUGGAAGUGCACACAGUAAGUGCUUCCGGGGUGCUGGCUGCCCGCUCCCCACACCCCAGCUCCACAUCCAGGUCCUCUGGGCUCUUGGACUCAACAGUGAUUGUGGGACAGCCACCGUGCUCCAUGCAUGGGCGGGGCUGAGGGGCUACUGUGCCUGCCCUGCCCAAUCCCGGGGGACACACGCAGGCGGCCUGGGUUUCUCUACCACCUCUGCAUCCUUCAGGGAGCACAGGGCUUCCUAGGUCCAACUGACAUCCCCAGGAGGGGGCGUUUCAGGCCGGUCCCUGGGGUGCAGCCAGGAAGCUAAGGCUGAGCAUGGAAUGGCCCUCAGCUCUGGGCUCUC